rnacentral:miRNA from 1 species
CAUCAAAGUGGAGGCCCUCUCC